rnacentral:sRNA from 1 species
GCUUUGCUGCUGCUGCUGCUGCUGCUGCUGCUGCUGCUGCUUGUGAGUAAGAUCUAAUGUUAAUUCUCCUGUCUUUGUCUUCUUUACUCUCCCUCUAACAAAGACAACAUCACCAGCAUCCAGCAGCGGCAGCAGCUGCUGCGGCAGCCACUGCUGCUGCUGCUGCUGCUGCUGCUGCUGCUGCUGCUGCUGCUGCUGCUGCUGCUGCUGCUGCUUCUGCUGGUUCCCAGCAUCCAGAGAAGACCCUGCGCCUCCCUCAGCAGCUGCAGCUGCAGCAGCUGCAGCUGCAGCAGCUGCUGCUGCAGCAGCUGCAGCAGCAGCAGCAGGAUCUCGUGCUGCUCCUAUGUACAGCUGCAGCUUGUCUUU